AACCGAGAACUCCUACGGGAGGCAGCAGUGGGGAAUUUUGGACAAUGGGGGCAACCCUGAUCCUGCAAUGCCGCGUGAGUGAAGAAGGCCUUCGGGUUGUAAAGCUCUUUUGUCAGGGAAGAAACGGUAGUAGCUAAUAUCUAUUACUAAUGACGGUACCUGAAGAAUAAGCACCGGCUAACUACGUGCCAGCAGCCGCGGUAAUACGUAGGGUGCAAGCGUUAAUCGGAAUUACUGGGCGUAAAGCGUGCGCAGGCGGUUGUGUAAGUCAGAUGUGAAAUCCCCGGGCUCAACCUGGGAAUUGCAUUGGAGACUGCACGGCUAGAGUGUGUCAGAGGGGGGUAGAAUUCCACGUGUAGCAGUGAAAUGCGUAGAUAUGUGGAGGAAUACCGAUGGCGAAGGCAGCCCCCUGGGAUUACACUGACGCGCAUGCACGAAAGCGUGGGGAGCAAACAGGAUUAGAACCCCUAGUAGUCCGACUGAGA
rnacentral:rRNA from 1 species